rnacentral:rRNA from 1 species
AUUGAACGCUGGCGGCAUGCCUUACACAUGCAAGUCGAACGGCAGCACGGGUGCUUGCACCUGGUGGCGAGUGGCGAACGGGUGAGUAAUACAUCGGAACGUACCUUAUCGUGGGGGAUAACGCAGCGAAAGCUGUGCUAAUACCGCAUACGCCCUGAGGGGGAAAGCGGGGGAUCGCAAGACCUCGCGCGAUUAGAGCGGCCGAUGCCUGAUUAGCUAGGUGGUGGGGUAAAAGCCCACCAAGGCGACGAGCAGUAGCUGGUCUGAGAGGACGAGCAGCCACACGGGUACUGAGACACGGCCCAGACUCCUACGGGAGGCAGCAGUGGGGAAUUUUGGACAAUGGGGGCAACCCUGAUCCAGCAAUGCCGCGUGAGUGAAGAAGGCCUUCGGGUUGUAAAGCUCUUUUGUCAGGGAAGAAACACCGGCUCUAACACAGUCCGGGAAUGACGGUACCUGAAGAAUAAGCACCGGCUAACUACGUGCCAGCCGCCGCAGUAA